CCCUUAGAUGUCCCGGGCCGCACGCGCGCUACACUGAUGCAUUCAACGAGUUUUACCUUGGCCGAGAGGCCUGGGCAAUCUUUUGAACCUGCAUCGUGAUAGGGAUAGAUUAUUGCAAUUAUUAAUCUUGAACGAGGAAUUCCUAGUAAACGCAGAUCAUCAAUCUGCAUUGAUUACGUCCCUGCCCUUUGUACACACCGCCCGUCGCACCUACCGAUUGAAUGGUCCGGUGAAGCCUCGGGAUUGUGGCGAGUUCCCUUUAUUGGGAGUUUGUCGCGAGAACUUGUCUAAACCUUAUCAUUUAGAGGAAGGUGAAGUCGUAACA
rnacentral:rRNA from 1 species